rnacentral:misc_RNA from 1 species
GAUGAAGAACGCAGCGAAAUGCGAUACGUAAUGUGAAUUGCAGAAUUCAGUGAAUCAUCGAGUCUUUGAACGCACAUUGCGCCCCCUGGUAUUCCGGGGGGCAUGCCUGUUCGAGCGUCAUUUCAACCCUCAAGCUCUGCUUGGUAUUGAGUCCAUGUCAGCAAUGGCAGGCUCCAAAAUCAGUGGCGGCGCCGCUGGGUCCUGAACGUAGUAAUAUCUCUCGUUACAGGUGCUCGGCGUGCUUCUGCCAAAACCCCAAUUUUUCUAUGGUUGACCUCGGAUCAGGUAGGGAUACCCGCUGAACUUAAGCAUAUCAAUAAGCGGAGGA